rnacentral:rRNA from 1 species
GACCGAACCGACUUACGUUGAAAAGUGAGCGGAUGAACUGAGGGUAGCGGAGAAAUUCCAAUCGAACCUGGAGAUAGCUGGUUCUCUCCGAAAUAGCUUUAGGGCUAGCCUCAAGUGAUGAUUAUUGGAGGUAGAGCACUGUUUGGACGAGGGGCCCCUCUCGGGUUACCGAAUUCAGACAAACUCCGAAUGCCAAUUAAUUUAACUUGGGAGUCAGAACAUGGGUGAUAAGGUCCGUGUUCGAAAGGGAAACAGCCCAGACCACCAGCUAAGGUCCCAAAAUAUAUGUUAAGUGGAAAAGGAUGUGGCGUUGCCCAGACAACUAGGAUGUUGGCUUAGAAGCAGCCAUCAUUUAAAGAGUGCGUAAUAGCUCACUAGUCGAGUGACACUGCGCCGAAAAUGUACCGGGGCUAAACAUAUUACCGAAGCUGUGGAUUGUCCUUUGGACAAUGGUAGGAGAGCGUUCUAAGGGCGUUGAAGCAUGAUCGUAAGGACAUGUGGAGCGCUUAGAAGUGAGAAUGCCGGUGUGAGUAGCGAAAGACGGGUGAGAAUCCCGUCCACCGAUUGACUAAGGUUUCCAGAGGAAGGCUCGUCCGCUCUGGGUUAGUCGGGUCCUAAGCUGAGGCCGACAGGCGUAGGCGAUGGAUAACAGGUUGAUAUUCCUGUACCACCUAUAAUCGUUUUA